CAAAUGGGGAAGAGAAACAAAAAAACUGGGCUGUUCAUUUUCUGUAAUUUAAAAUGCAAACGCGUCUCCCAUAGGAUGGGGAUGGAUUCAGGAUUUGGACUUGUAGUAGGAAAGUUAUUGAGAAAUCCCUUCACAGGGUGCGGCAGGAUGGGACUGUUUUUUUUCCAAGGUUCUUUUGAAUUCGUUGAGAGGAAAGAUAGUCGUAAAGAUUAUUGUUCAGCAUGCAAAAGUAUGCUCUUCUUUGUGCUGCAGUGGAAAAUAUAGCUCUUCCCUAGCUUUCUUUUUACCUCCUGACCUACCUCAGUUUCCUCCCCACUAGGAAAAUGUUCUGGUGACGGCUCAGGGCCUCUGGGGACAGUUGUAUAGGAGGCACACUUCAGGCUAGUUUAUUCAGGCAAGAGGUCAGUCCAGGGCCGUGGGCCAAAAAUGCUGCGUGUCCCCUGUCUUGGAGACAUGGAGCUACUUGAGACUAAGCUACCGUGAAGCAUUAGUAAGUAUUUCCCGCCCCCACACACUUGAGGAGCAAGACUCCCUAGAGAUGUCUGUGUCUCCUCCCUCACAGCUGGAUUUUCACAGAGACUAGACACUCAGCCAUCUUGGCUGUGAUUGUGAAUAGCCAAACCCACUUGCAGCCUGCCUUUUGAUCCUGUAUUUAGUAACAACAGUAACAGUAAAGCAGUAUCUGAGAACAGGAAUGCCCCCACCCAGAUGUGCCCCUGCACAAUUGGUGGUGUCUUACCACCCCUGGGCAAAUAUGCCUCUGAGCAGCUGAAGAGUGAGGAACAGCCCUGGGUGCUCUGUACCUCUGAUGGUAAAGAUACAAAGUCAGGCCUGAUCUCAAAGCACUUGAUCACUCAUCACAUGUAGCUCUUCUAAAGUUCUAAUCCAUAUUGGCUUUUUGACAUAUUUUUGGCCUGUUGAAUGUUAAGGAGCCUCUAUUUCUCAGUACAUGGCUUUGGUAGUGGAAAUUAGAUUUAGAAAGUAUUUUCAAGCAUUUUAAGUCAUAGGAAAGUUUAUUAGAGAUUAGUCAAGAUAAGAAACACACAAAUCUGCAUUCGCUUGAAAAUGGGUUGUGGGUUGUUCUCAGAAUUCACUGCCCUGUCCUUUCCUGUAUUCCACUUCAACUGUUUGGUAUCUUUGUUCCAAGAAACUCAGAGCACCUGUC
rnacentral:lncRNA from 1 species